rnacentral:rRNA from 1 species
UUAGAGUUUGAUCCUGGCUCAGGAUGAACGCUAGCGGGAGGCCUAACACAUGCAAGUCGAACGGGAUCCCCGAGCAAUCGGGGUGAGAGUGGCGCACGGGUGAGUAACGCGUAUGCAACCUACCUGUAACAGAGGGAUAGCCCAUAGAAAUGUGGAUUAACACCUCAUAGUUCUUAUUAGUCGCAUGACUGACAAGAUAAAACUCCGGUGGUUACAGAUGGGCAUGCGUGACAUUAGCUAGUUGGUAAGGUAACGGCUUACCAAGGCUACGAUGUCUAGGGGUUCUGAGAGGAUGAUCCCCCACACUGGUACUGAGACACGGACCAGACUCCUACGGGAGGCAGCAGUGAGGAAUAUUGGUCAAUGGGCGCAAGCCUGAACCAGCCAUCCCGCGUGCAGGAUGACGGCCCUAUGGGUUGUAAACUGCUUUUAUACACCAAGAAAAACUUUCACGUGUGGGAGCUUGACGGUAGUGUAUGAAUAAGCAUCGGCUAACUCCGUGCCAGCAGCCGCGGUAAUACGGAGGAUGCAAGCGUUAUCCGGAUUCAUUGGGUUUAAAGGGUGCGUAGGCGGCUUUUUAAGUCAGUGGUGAAAUCCUGCCGCUUAACGGUAGAAUUGCCAUUGAUACUGAGAAGCUUGAGUACAUUUGAGGUAAGCGGAAUGUGUAGUGUAGCGGUGAAAUGCUUAGAUAUUACACAGAACACCAAUUGCGAAGGCAGCUUACUAAACUGUUACUGACGCUGAUGCACGAAAGCGUGGGGAGCGAACAGGAUUAGAUACCCUGGUAGUCCACGCCGUAAACGAUGCUCACUCGCUGUUUGCGAUACACAGCAAGCGGCCAAGCGAAAGCAUUAAGU